CAGAGGUCCCGAGCGUUGUUCGGAUUCACUGGGCGUAAAGGGUGCGUAGGUGGUUGGGCAAGUCUGAUGUGAAAUCUCCGGGCUUAACCCGGAGAUGGCAUUGGAAACUGCCUGGUUAGAGUGUUGGAGGGGGGGACUGGAAUUCUCGGUGUAGCAGUGAAACGCGUAGAUAUCGAGAGGAACACCAGUGGCGAAGGCGAGUCCCCUGGACAACGACUGACACUGAGGCACGAAAGCUAGGGGGAGCAAACAGGAUUAGAUACCCUGGUAGUCCUAGCCGUAAACGGUGCUUGCUUGCUGUAAAAGGAAUCGACCCCUUUUGUGGCGAAGCCAACGCGAUAAGCAAGCCGCCUGGGAAGUACGGUCGCAAGAUUA
rnacentral:rRNA from 1 species